rnacentral:misc_RNA from 1 species
CGAAGAAGAAAAAGAAAAAGAAGAAGAAGAAAGAGUGUCCACGGAAAAAUCGGAUUUUUCCGUGGACACUCUUUCUUCUUCUUUUUCUUUUUCUUCUUCG